rnacentral:lncRNA from 1 species
ACCACCGAAUUUGUGUUACAAUCGAAAUUAGAUUACAAAUUUAACUUCUUAAUUUUAUAUUUCUUUUUUGUUAAUUUUUUUUUAAAUUUAAGGCACACGUUAAUUAUAAGGGGAGUUUGGUCAACAAUCAUUGACUACACUAACAUGUGACACGUGUCGUAUGAUGAGAGGAUCGACGGUGGUCAUCAGUUGUAUUAUUAUUAUUAUUUUUUAAAAAGGCCGUCCUAUUUGAUCUCACGUAAACAAAAAAGUCAAUAAUGUUUCUCCGACAACGAAGGCAAUUAUCCACAACGCUCAUGUGCAUUGUCUCUUACGAAACUCUCCUUUGCUGUUAAUCAGCCACGUGUCGUUUUAUCUUAACAGCUGAGCACAGAGACGUCGGUGUGCUGAGAAACACAUGAUCAUCUGUAUUUUUUUCCUUAAAAUCCUUGUCCGGAGAGCUGUGUGGUUUCAAAAUAUUUUUUUUUUUGGUUCAAAUUAUUUAUUUGUCUUUUUUUUUCUUUCUGAAAUAAGCUUUUUAAUUUUCAUUUUUAAAAAAUUUUGAUGGUAUAAAUAAAUGAUCAUAAAUCAGUAACUAAUGCAAAUGCAAUAACAAGAAAAAGGGACUUCGGAAAU